rnacentral:tRNA from 1 species
CGGGGUGUAGCGCAGCCUGGUAGCGCGCCUGCUUUGGGAGCAGGAUGUCGGAGGUUCAAAUCCUCUCACCCCGA